UACGAAGGGGGCUAGCGUUGCUCGGAAUUACUGGGCGUAAAGGGCUCGUAGGCGGCCAACUAAGUCGGACGUGAAAUCCCUCGGCUUAACCGGGGAACUGCGUCCGAUACUGGAUGGCUUGAGUUCGGGAGAGGGAUGCGGAAUUCCAGGUGUAGCGGUGAAAUGCGUAGAUAUCUGGAGGAACACCGGUGGCGAAGGCGGCAUCCUGGACCGACACUGACGCUGAGGAGCGAAAGCCAGGGGAGCAAACGGG
rnacentral:rRNA from 1 species